GUAAAAAAGUCAUACGUCAUGGUUUCUACCCACCUGAAAGCAUAUAUAUAACUUGAAUAUUGCUGGGUUAUGUGGAUACACCAGUCAGUCUGCCAAAGUGAGCAAUCGAAUUGGUCAAGAACGUUUAGUACUUCAAAAUGUGAGUAUAUAUAUAGAUAUACACUUUCACACGCGCCGUUUACCCGGACGGUAUGAGAGGUGGGAUGAUUUUGAUGCUUGCAUGAUGAUAAGAAUGAGACGAAAGGCAACUUCAGCAAUUCUAUAUUAACAAGCUGAUCAUUUUGUUAAAUUGAGUCCAUUUGUCGAGC